rnacentral:rRNA from 1 species
UACAUAGGGGGCGAGCGUUGUCCGGAUUUACUGGGCGUAAAACGCUUGUAGGCGGCCACGCCAAGUCGGAUGUGAAAUCUCCCGGCUUAACUGGGAGGGGUCAUGCGAUACUGGCGGGCUCGAGGCAGGUAGGGGGAAGCGGAAUUCCCGGUGUAGUGGUGGAAUGCGUAGAUAUCGGGAGGAACACCAGUGGCGAAGGCGGCUUCCUGGACCUGUUCUGACGCUGAGGAGCGAAAAGCGUGGGGGAGC